AACGAACGCUGGCGGCAUGCCUAACACAUGCAAGUCGAACGAGACCUUCGGGUCUAGUGGCGCACGGGUGCGUAACGCGUGGGAACCUGCCCUUAGGUUCGGAAUAACUCCCCGAAAGGGGUGCUAAUACCGGAUAAUGUCUUCGGACCAAAGAUUUAUCGCCUUUGGAUGGGCCCGCGUUGGAUUAGCUAGUUGGUAGGGUAAAAGCCUACCAAGGCGACGAUCCAUAGCUGGUCUGAGAGGAUGAUCAGCCACACUGGGACUGAGACACGGCCCAGACUCCUACGGGAGGCAGCAGUGGGGAAUAUGGGACAAUGGGCGAAAGCCUGAUCCAGCAAUGCCGCGUGAGUGAUGAAGGCCUUAGGGUUGUAAAGCUCUUUUACCCGGGAUGAUAAGGACAGGACCGGGAGAAUAAGCUCCGGCUACUCCGUG
rnacentral:rRNA from 1 species